UUGGUCAAGCAAAUCUUGUCAGUAGAAAAACGCGGCAAAUUUGAAAAAUCGCGGGCUAGCAACACUGUGUUCGAAUAAUUCCAAAAUCGCGUGUAAUCUGUGUUUUAUCUGUAGAAUGUGGAUCGUCCAUCUUGUUUGUUUACAUUCCGAAUCGGUGCUAAUUCAAGAGAAAUUUCUGCUCCCAGCAUUAAAAUAAAUAUCAAUAUAUUAAAUAAUAUUGUGCAUGACCAUAAGCAAAGUCAAGAUGCCUACAAUGGUUAAAAGGCUUAAAUAAAGAUAAAACGUAUGCCUCAAUAUAUCCAAUAAGACCACGAAUUGUGCCCUCGAAACCGCAACUGAUUCGAUUGUUCCCAAUAUCAACAGAUGAAGUCCUCAAAUAUUUUCAAAGGUAACUUUUUUAAACAAUCUUAAGACGUUUAAGAACCUUGAUUAUACCUACUUUCUUUCGCAACAUCUACCUAAUACUUCCAUAUGUUUGUUGCAGGAUUAAAACUCUCCCAAUAUAAGGCGUUCGUAAAAGUUUCUCUUCAUACAAAACUUACCUACGGCGGUUUACGUACAUACGUGUACAACGCAAACAAGACGAAAAAUAAACUUGUUAAUUAAAAAAACUAAAAAAAUUGGUACAAUAGUUUAGAUUAUUAUUGUAAAAGUUGUCUGUUUGUUAAUCAUCACGAAAAUAUAUUAUUUAGGCUGAUUUGUUUCAUGCACUCAGCUAUUGCACAUGUAUACCUAUGGAAAAUCCUAGUUUAUACUUUCUGAAGUCGGUAUGUACCUAUUUAAGAGAAGUUUUAAGUCGCUUUACCUGUUUGUUCAAUAAAUUAAAAUAAUUUAUUCAGUGUGCAUAAUUUUAGAAAAAUAUUUUAACAUUUAAAUCAUACCUUCUAUUAUCCAGAAACAAUAUAACUCCAUAUUACUCACAUGAGUGGAAGUUGUUAAGUUUCCAUUGUCAAGGUAUCUUUUAUUAAUAUUUUGAGUACCUGAAAUUGUGUCAGUUCCUGACAAGUCUUGAAUAGACUAAUGUGAAAGUUAAUAAAAUUUCUUAACAGCAUUCUCCUGAUUUCUAAAUGACUUUUUUAAUUAUCUACAUAUAAAAUAUGAUCUAGCCGAUACAUGUAAAUAUCUAACAUUUUUAGCCUGUAUAAAAACAGUAGUGUGAGCAAAACCUUACCAAGCUAGCAUGUAAGAGUGGUCUCAGAGAUAUUGGAAUAUCUCUGUACUAUAAAUUAGGCAAAUUGCUUAAGACUAAGUUUUAUGUGUAACUACUACUGAAUAAAUUUUGAAACUUGGAAUGGAAACUUUAAACUUGAAAUUACAAAUUUUCAAACAGAUCUGUUUUAUGCUUAAGAUGCAAUAAGUGACUAGGUACAAAGUAUUCUGAUGCUUGGUUGGAGUGGACCAGUAGCAUUGGUAACUUAAUGAUAUUUUUUCAAUGAAUGGCCUGAAUUAAGUGUAAGUAAGCUAAAGUGAUCCGUAUCUUAAUUGCCUUGAAAUUAAAUGAACACCAAAAUA